AUCCUGGCACAUUUUUUGUGGGGUGAGGGGUGACAUUUCUUGGCCCAGGCUCAGCUGUCCUGCAAAGAUGGCAUGGCCCAGCACCCAGCUGGCACACAACAAGGACUUCAGAGGCAGCUAGAGGAGCCUCCAUGUCUGCCAUCCAUAGACAACGGAGACUUAGGAAGCAGCACCCCAUACCCCUGUCCAGCCAACUGCCCCAAGAGGCCUUCCCAAGCCUAUGGGCCCCAGACCCCUAGCACCACAGCCAAGACCCACACCUGCUCCACCCCGCCCCGCCCCAUCUGCAUCCACGGGCCAGUGGGGGACCAUUCAGUGAGAUCCUCCCUGUCCUACGGCCUUGGCCGUGACCCCAGCUUGGCCUCUUUGUCUCUGAGCCAGGCCAGCCAGUUCAGCGUUAAAGCUGCUGGAGCAUCCAAGGAGACAUAAAGAAAGUUUAGAGACUUUUAAUUUGCCAGCACGGCUCUCCGCUGGCCAGCAGGUUGAGCGUUUGUGGAGAAGGGC
rnacentral:lncRNA from 1 species